rnacentral:rRNA from 1 species
AGCCUGCGGUUUAAUCGGACUCAACGCCGGAAACUCACCAGUUAAGACAGCUGAAUGAUAGUCGGGCUGAAGACUCUACUUGACUAGCUGAGAGGAGGUGCAUGGCCGUCGUCAGUUCGUACUGUGAAGCAUCCUGUUAAGUCAGGCAACGAGCGAGACCCACGCCAACAGUUGCCAGCUCGUCCUCCGGGAUGGUGGGGACACUGUUGGGGCCGCCUCUGCUAAAGAGGAGGAAGGAAUGGGCAACGGUAGGUCAGCAUGCCCCGAAUUAACUGGGCUACACGCGGGCUACAAUGGGUGGGACAAUGGGUAUCGACACCGAAAGGUGAAGGCAAUCUCCUAAACCCAUCCUUAGUUCGGAUUGUGGGUUGCAACUCACCCACAUGAAGCUGGAAUCUGUAGUAAUCGUGUCUCAAAAUGGCACGGUGAAUAUGUCCCUGCUCCUU